CCUAAUGUCGUUUCCAGUCAGCUCAGGCUGUCAAAAUUUUUGAGAGCAAGACUGCUUUAGUGUUCUUUCUGGAAAAAAAAAGUUUAAAACAUUUCAGAAUUUCAUAGAAAAAAAGAAGCUCAAAUGGUGCCUGAAUGUGUAAAUGCUAUAGAACAGGGGUCAGCGAACUUUUCUGGAAAAGCCUGGAUAGUCACUAUCUUAGACUUUGCAGACCACAGGGUCUGUCACCACUUCGCAACUCUAUGCAGUAGUAGCGCAAAAGCGGCCACAGAGAAUACGUAAACAAAUGAACCUGGCUGUGUUCUAAUAAAGCUUUUAUUUAUGGGCCUUGACAUUUGAAUUUCAUGUACUUAUCAUGUGUCGCAAAAUAUCCUUUUAAUUUUUUCAACCCUUAGAAACAAUGUUAAGACAUUCUUAGCUUGUGGGCUUCACAAACACAGGAGGUGGGCAGGAUUGAGCCCACAGGCUGUUGUGUACCAACCCCGGCUUUAGAAGACUAAAGUUGACGAGAUGAACUUCUUGUACCAGAGGGAUGCUUGGUUAAUAAGAUGUUUGUACAGCAAUCAAAAAUCAAUGUCAUGCAAAAUCAUGCUUUAGCUAUUUACUCUUAAUUAAAAUGCUUUAGCCAAUUAAUAGUCUAACACUCCUAUAACUAUCAAACUCUGUGGAAAAGAAUACUCUAGCUUGUGAUUCAUGGAGAGACCGCGUUUCCAUUUGCAUACUCUUCAUCACUCUAAGAUAGUGACGAGGAGUGGAACCAAGAGGACCUGGAUUCCGACACCUAACACGUAUCACUCCUUUUCAACUAAGGCUUCAAGAGGUCAUCCAAAGUCCAAGAUUAGAAAAAUACCUACACUUUUCUUCUGGUCAGCUUAAGAACAUCUGAACUCUGGAAACCUGAGCACCCUCCUUCUUCACUGAGGCAAGAGGUAACUACGGCAGGUCAUCGAGGCUUCUUUUCUACUUCUUACUGGGCUGGAAUAAGUGCAAACCCGGUUUGUACCAACGGUGUGCUUAAAUAAGUAGAGGAGACAUAUCAAUGUGAUUUUUAAAGAAUUGUGACAGAAAAUCCCCAGUGACUAGCAGAAGUUGAAUAUACAUUCCUUCUCCCCACUGUCUCGAUGGUUUCUGAUCUCUUAAAAAUCUUCACUUGAACUGUCUUGUAUGUGUGUUUAUGGCAAGCUGAAAUCGUAAUUGGAAAUGAGUCAGGGAUAACUGGUAAAUAAAUAAAUAUUGGUGGGCAAGCAGUCGACUCUCUGGAGAAUACCUUCAAUUUCAUUACUUUGCCAAUCUCCAAGGUCAGUUUAAUCAUAAGCAACUUCAGGUGUGUGUGGGUUUAAUAGAAUUAACUAGAACAGGGCUCCCCAACCUUGGCACUGUUGACGCGUUGGGCCAGAUAAUUUUUGUUGGGGUGGAGGGGGGCGUUGUAGGAUGUUUAGCAGCCUCUCUGGCUUCUACGCACUAGAUACCAGUGGCACCUCCCCACAGUUGUGACAACCAAAAAUCUCUCCGGGCGUUGCCAAAUGUCCCCUGUGUGUGUGUAUGGGGCAGCGGGGAGGAGGGCAGAAUCGCAGCGAGGGCAGUGGGGCAGCAGCUAGAACCACUGAACUAGAC
ensembl:lncRNA